AUGGUUGUGCUCCAGCAGGCUGGCCUAGCGAUCUCUGGCGACUCUACAAGCCGAGCCUGCAAGAAGCGAUGGACCGGAGCGGCAGAGGCGGUGUUCGCCGGGGAUCGCCGGCCCGGGGGACACGGCGGCCCGGGGGACACGGCGGCCGAGGCCCGGGCAGCGCCGCUCCCCCUCAGCACCGCGAGGUGUCAGGGCAGCGCCGCGGGCCCAGCCCCGGCUGCAGCGAGAGCGGCUUCACCGCCAGGAACAGCCCAAGCGCUUAAACACGCACCUUCAGCAGAGAACCUCUCCCUUCUUCCUCUUUCACUAACAGGUGGCCCUGAGCACCUCCGGAGGGCACUGUAAGGACACCUAAAGGAGGCUCUGUCUUUCUCGUCUAAGGAACCAGCAAACAACGCUGAGCACCUCCGUCCUGCCAGAACCUAGACCACCACGCAGGUAACUGUAACCCUUUACAAAGGGAAAAGUAUGGGGGUGCUGGGGAUUUUUGCUCCCUCCUAUUAGUCACUAUAUUCUAUAACUUUUUGUUUUGCUGAUUAGACUAAGACACAGAAGCUUUGGGCUCAUUAAUCUCCUGCUCAGCCUGACAAGAAUUUCAGAUGAGUGCCCUAGCUCCAGAUCUACUUUGUGAAGAGGGAUCUCUUUGUGAAGAUCUCUUUUGCUGAAGAGGGAAUUCUAUCCGAUGAUGAGUUCUAAGGCAGACCAGGAAAAAGUCUGCUACAAGUAGUGUUGCAGACCUUACUCCUUGCACUAUAAAUGGACAUUAUUAGACCGUAAUAGGUCCCAGUUUUGUACAAUCCUGGGAAUAUGAACCUAAAUAUGAGAGCAUUACUUAUCAAAUGUCUGCUCAGACUAUUGGGGGAGAGAGUGGAGCAGGAGAAUCCCUUCCUUUUUCUGAGUAAGAGUUUGCCCUUUAUGAUAUUAUGCAAAAAGAUAACAUUUCCCUGCAUCCUUCCUCAGAGCAAGGUACUCUGAAUUAUGGUGUGGGUACCUAGUUCAAAGCAUCCAGUCCACCCUGUGUUCCAUGUACAAAACAAGACAGGGACAGUGAACAGAUAUGCUUGCUGCUGGCUGGGAAUCAGGUGGAACCUAUGUGUCAAAAUCUCAGUAUAAGCAAGACUUCAGGAAGCUCGUUCUUGUCCCUUUAUACGUUGACUGUUCUAUAAUCAGGACUCAGAAAGCAAAACCAUGGCUGCUAUUCUUAUUACACUGAUAAUAUUUUCCCUUCCUUCUUCUUCUAUUUAAUAACAGAUAUUACUUCCUAAGCACAGACUUGCUCAGCCUUUAUUGUCACAUCUUCCUGGCUAAUACAAUAGAGCUGAUAGCUGAUAAAAAGAAAAAUCUGGACAUGGUCAAAAUCAGAAAAAUGGCCACUGUAUUAAAUCAAAGUUUUGGUUGAUAAACUUCUCUCAACACACUUUUUAAAGCUUGAUACUUAUGCUGAAUAUCAUUAACAGUAUAACCAUGUUUACCACUCUAGGUAAAUUAAUUUGCCUUCCUUAGUUCUAAUUUUAGCAAACACAGCCAUGCCAUAUUGGUUUACCAAAAAUAAAAAUAACUAGAAUGAUCA
rnacentral:lncRNA from 1 species